AGGCACCUCCCUCGUCUCUCCCUGGUGAAGAGGAAUCCUCGAGCCCCCUGUAACCUUCAGUGCUUUCCUCACUUGAUCUUCCUUUGAUGGUGUCCGUUAUGCGCUGCCCGUGGGAUAAACACCGCCGUAACGCGACUCCAUUCGAUCGGCCUCAGUCCCUACCUCUUCCGAUAGUCGAGAUGCCGCGCUGCCCGUGAAAACCACUCCACCUCCCACCAGCUGGCUCCACCUCCCUCCCAGGCCAGCUGAUCGUAAGCUCAUCGCGGGAGCGGAACAUGCCUACCGAC